UACGUAGGGGGCAAGCGUUAUCCGGAAUUACUGGGCGUAAAGCGCACGCAGGCGGGUAGCCAAGUUUGGAGUGACAGUUGUCGGCUCAACCGACAAAGGACUUCAAAAACUGGUGAACUUGAGGACGAGAGAGGAACAUGGAACUCCAGGUGUAGUAGUGAAAUGCGUAGAUAUCUGGAAGAACACCAAUGGCGAAGGCAAUGUUCUGGCUCGUUUCUGACGCUCAGGUGCGAAAGCCAGGGGAGCGAACGGG
rnacentral:rRNA from 1 species